GAGGAAAAGAAACCAACAGGGAUUGCCCUAGUAACGGCGAGUGAAGCGGCAACAGCUCAAAUUUGAAAGCUAGCCUUCGGGUUCGCAUUGUAAUUUGUAGAGGAUGCUUUGGGUAAAACGCCAGUCUAAGUUCCUUGGAACAGGACGUCAUAGAGGGUGAGAAUCCCGUAUGUGACUGGAAAUGUUAACCUAUGUAAAGCUCCUUCGACGAGUCGAGUUGUUUGGGAAUGCAGCUCUAAAUGGGAGGUAAAUUUCUUCUAAAGCUAAAUAUUGGCGAGAGACCGAUAGCGCACAAGUAGAGUGAUCGAAAGAUGAAAAGCACUUUGGAAAGAGAGUUAAAAAGCACGUGAAAUUGUUGAAAGGGAAGCGCUUGCAAUCAGACUUGUUUAAACUGUUCGGCCGGUCUUCUGACCGGUUUACUCAGUUUGGACAGGCCAGCAUCAGUUUCGGCGGCCGGAUAAAGGCAUUGGGAAUGUGGCCUUCACUUCGGUGGAGGUGUUAUAGCCCAGUGUGUAAUACGGCCAGCCGGGACUGAGGUCCGCGCUUCGGCUAGGAUGCUGGCGUAAUGGUUGUAAGCGACCCGUCU
rnacentral:rRNA from 1 species